AGCAUUGUCUGAACACAGUGGUCAAAUGCUAUCAAGUGAAUGAGAAAUCAUCACUCAGUUCAACAUUUAUUGAACACCACAAUGCUAGAAUCUAGGAAUUCAACUGUGAAUAAGGAAGUUAUGGUGUACUCUCUGUAAACUUCUCAUAAAUAAUGUCUAAAAUACAACAACAUUCCUAUUGAUGUAUAUUGCUUGCUUCCAAAGACUAUGACGCCUGUAUCCUCACACGUACAUCACCUUUAUUUUUCCUAUUCAGGAGUGGCCACAGGUACCAAAGGAUGGCACAUCAUACCAGGAAUUUGUUGAUCUAGUGCAGUGGAACUGCAAGGCAGAGUUCAGCGGUAUCGGGAUCAAAGGAUUAGGAAGCCGCAGCUUUAAGGGAGGCAAGCAGCAUGAGAAGACUUUGUGGAGGCAGCUCUGAGCAUUUUAUCAGGCUGAACUAUGAAAAGCAACUAGAGGACAUUCUCCCCCUUGAAGAUAAUCACUUUUAUUGUUGCCGGGUCAAAGAUUCAGAUUCCACGCAGCAACCUCUGACUAAAGAACAGCAAGUCCUUUCAGAUUUCUUCUUUCGGUGGAUCGUGUAAAUUAGUGAGUUGCUUUCACGUCUUUUGGCCAGCUUCAGAGAAGAAUGAAGUACCCAAUGCUUGGUGAGAGGCAGUCCAUGUUCCGGAUGUAAAGCACUUCUCACUAUAUUAAUUGUCCGCUGGCUUAAUUUUUUCAUAUUCUGUCGAAUGCACUUUGCCUGCGUGUACGAAGGCAGCUUCCUCAUCAGAUGUGAGUUGGGAGCAUCCACAUGUACUCCACUGAUGCUCCCCAAACUUCCAAGAUAAAAAUUUCCACAAGGGGAAGAUAGCAGUCAAAUGUGAGAAGAAUAAUUUGCAAAUAGAUAAAUACGCAAAUAAAUAAAACUGUUCAUGGAGUUGUCUACUGGAAAACGAUGUGCCAAGGGCACAAUGAGCGAAAGUGAAGCUUGACAAUGAGUUAGGUCGCCAGAUGUGGCGCGGUGAUUUGGGGGGGCCCAGGGGAGCACCCAUGAGGAGAAAGGCUGGGUGUAAAUCAGUCAUAGCAACGCUCCACUGCACCUGGGGGGCCCUGAGGAAAUACGUUAGUGGUGAAUCAAGAGCCAGGCUCCAAGGCCCUGAGGCCAGUGUGCUGGGAGAGGGGCGUGUCAGAGGCACAUGGGAGAGGUGGGCCUGAAGACAGAGAGAAGCUCUAAGUCAAGCAAAGACCCAGGUUUCUAGAAGUGGUCAUGCAAAUAGCUGAGGUUCGCAGAUUCUAUUAUUUAAUAAUUAAAUGUAAAGAAGCAUUUAGCUUACGUCAACUAUUUUAGUUAGGAGAGCAAUAGUCACAAAGCAGCAGUUGUGAAAUUUAUAUGGAUUGGAAAAGGGUGUGAUAGACACGGGGUGGAAGAGUUUCCAUUUGUUUUGUUUUAAGCCACGGUCAAUGUGGGCUUUCAAAGUCAGAUGCCGAAGGAGGAAUUAAAUUAUCCAGUGAGUAUUAGAGAGUUAUUCUCAAACCGUAUUUUACUGUAAGAUGGGGUUAUUUUAAAUUCAGAAAAGCUAAUGAGCAUAAAGAAGACUGCAAAUCUUCUGGGACCAUGUGUCAGCUGAUCCACAGCUGCUGCAACCGAAAAGUCACAAAGCUUGCUGGGAAAUGGAGAACAAUGCAGACUCAGUUGUCAUGAAUAUCUUAUGUGAAGUUACUUUUUAGAGAAAUCUCCAAAUGCAAUCUCUAUAGGCAAACAUAUACAUUUGUAUAUAGAAAGAGUAAAGCUGUAAUCUUCAUUGAACACAGAGAUUUGUUUCUUUUGGGUUUUUUUAAAUUUGCAUUUCAUUGUUUUUCAUGAAAAUGAAUUUAAUGCUUGAAUUCUGUACAAGCAUCACAGGAAAAGGCUAUCAGGAAUCUGCAAGAGCCAUACAAGGUGUCCCUUAGAUAAAUAAUGGUCAGGAAAGGAAAUGUGUGAAUGAAAAGACCACGAUGUGCUGACUACGUUGAGGCACUGAGCAGAACAGACAGUGGGAGGCAACGACUGAGACAACCUGAGUUGAAAAAUAGUGUCUGGAAGACGCAGGG
rnacentral:lncRNA from 1 species